rnacentral:lncRNA from 1 species
GUAAUUAUAUUUAUUCUUCUAAAGCUGUUAUUUCUAUGACAGCUGGAAAUAGAAAGCUUGAGUAGUCACGCUUUUUUUUGGCAAAACGUACGAAAAAUAAUUUUACAGAUCUGACAUAUAACAAUAAAACAGUUUAUUGCCUGUUGAAUGUUUUAAAGAAUAUUUAAUUUUUAAUGAUUUCACAUUUCAGAAUUUCUGCAACACAACAAAAAAAUAAAGGAUGCAACAGC